CUGCAUGGCCUGCACUGCUUCGGUGAGGCCUCUGAUUUGCUGAACCAGCAGGUCGAACUACUCCAUGCCGACCGCCAUUGCCGGAGGAGGAGGAGGAGCCUGAAAAAUUGAAGGUGAGGCCAGAGCCUAAGAUCUGACUGCAGAGGCCGUGGAUCGCCUGGUGGAUGCCUUACGGGGAGGCAUCAGGUGGAGAUCUAGUAGGAGAAGGAGAAAAGAAUGUUGGAGAAA
rnacentral:lncRNA from 1 species